rnacentral:rRNA from 1 species
UACAGAGGGGGCAAGCGUUGUCCGGAUUUACUGGGCGUACAGCGCGCGCAGGCGGUUGCGUAUGUGAGCGGUGACAUCCGCGGGCUCAACCCGCGGCGGCCCGCUUACACAGCGCGACUGGAGGCAGGGAGAGGGAUGUGGAAUACCCGGUGGAGCGGUGAAAUGCGUAGAGAUCGGGUGGAACACCAGCGGCGAAGGCGGCAUCCUGGCCCUGUACGUGACGCUGAGGCGCGAUAGCGUGGGGAGCAAACGGG